rnacentral:tRNA from 1 species
ACCUGGGUGGCUCAGUCGAUUGAGCAUCUGACUUCGGCUCAGGCCAUGAUCUCGCAGUCCGUGGGUUCGAGCCCCGCGUCGGGCU